rnacentral:rRNA from 1 species
CGGCCGCGUCGACGGGGAAGAAGGCUCUUGGGUUGUAAACCCUUUCUCUGGGAAGAAAGUUGUGAAAGCAACCUGACGGUACCAGAGGAAUCAGCAUCGGCUAACUCCGUGCCAGCAGCCGCGGUAAGACGGAGGAUGCAAGCGUUAUCCGGAAUGAUUGGGCGUAAAGCGUCCGCAGGUGGCAGUUCAAGUCUGCUGUCAAAGACCGGGGCUUAACUUCGGAAAGGCAGUGGAAACUGAACAGCUAGAGUAUGGUAGGGGCAGAGGGAAUUCCUGGCGUAGCGGUGAAAUGCGUAGAGAUCAGGAAGAACAUCGGUGGCGAAGGCGCUCUGCUGGACCAUAACUGACACUCAGGGACGAAAGCUAGGGGAGCGAAUGGGAUUAGAUACCCCAGUAGUCCUAGCCG